CGCCCUGAGGUUGCUGUGUUCGGGAGCUUCCCGGAGUUCCCUUGGCUGGGAUUUUUGGGAGAUUCCGUUCCGCGGAAUCAAUUUCAAUCCCUCGCCUCACCAUUAAAGCUUUGGGGUGACAUUUCGAUUUCCACGUUCUGCCCGCACUCCUCCGAGAAGGCUGAUAAAAAAAUGCCGUGGCAGGCCUAGCGGCUGAGAUACCAUCAGCUGGAAAUCCAUGCCGGGGUUUCCCGCCGCCCACAUUGUCUAUUCUGCUCCGCUAUGUGAAAAAUGUUGAAUAUCAACAAUAGGUUUCAGUGCCGUAUUGUUGAGUUUUGUAUGAACUAAUCUUGCCUUGCUAAAAAGGACCUACAGCUUGGACAAAAAGUCUACAGAGGCUGCAUUCCGCUCUCUCCUUACACCGAGGCGAGCCGAGGCAGAGGAGAAGACGCUGCUGGUGCUGCUGGCUCCUCUCUCUUAAAAGUCCCGUCCCGCUUGCUUGCAGGUGCCGGCCCCUGCUGCACCUGGGUGGGGACCCUGCCUGGGAAACACCCUGGAUUUAUGGCACAAGCUAGGCCUCGGAGGGACAGCCGGGCACAGAUAGGCUGGGGUUGAACGGUUCUGGAGAAGCAAUAUGAUGAACUAAACAGGAGGAAACAGAUCAACAGCAAAUAGUCGGCUGUGGUCCAGGAUCCCCCAAGAACUGUGUCAUUCCAGCAUUGUGCUUUCCCAGAACUGGAUGUAGAUAUACAUAAAAACAAAAUGGCUGCACAGUCACGACAGGCCAAGCUCUGUAAAGUAUGCCAGAGAUGCAAUAUGCUUUCUACGACAAUAGCACAUAACUGAUGUGAAUGGACAAAAUGUGACCAUUUUCGAUGCUACACUGGUCAUGUGACCAUAGAUCCAGAGGUCCAGAAUAAUGUAUCAAUUUUCUAUUGACAAAAUGCAGUUCUGGAAAAAAAUAAGAGACCAGUCUAUAUUUUUAAAGAAAUCUGCAUUUUUAAAUCCUGGUUUAAUCCAGGUUCUGUUGGCAGAAGGCUAUGCUGAGCAACAGGUUGAUUCCAGGUUCAAAAUUUCUAAGACAGCAGCACACAAGAAUAAGGUGCAAGAGGAGACACUGGGAAUGACCAGAAACCAGCCAGGUAAAGGUCUGAAGCUAGAGAUGAACGUCGACUUAUCCGACAGUUUGUCAUGAAUUGGAGGAUGUCAUCAAGUGACCUUCAAAAGGAAUGACAGACAUUAAGUGCAGGUGUGAAGUGCACUGCUAGGACAGUUCAUAUCAGGCUCAUAGAAGCAGGACUGAAGUCCCACAAAGCAAGGAAGAAGCCCUUCAUUAAUGAGAAACAGGGAAGAACCAGGCUGCAGUUUACAAAUAUUACAAAAAAAUAUAUAUUAUUCACAGACACACACCCAUAAAUCAAGAAAUGAAUGAAAAAAAACAUUGUGCUGUGGGCCCUAAUUUCUUUUCCAGAGCUGUAUAUUUUAUGUAGUUUCAUUCAGAUGAUAUUCAAAAAUGUAACCUUGAAACCCCAUUAGACAGGUGGUAUUACCAUGUAGCAAAUGGAUAUACAAACCGAAGGUUGCUGUUUGGAGUCCUAGGGGAGUUUCCAGUGUUGUGCCUCUGAACAAGAUACAUUUCAAUAAUUCAGGAGGAUCACACAUGCAUAAAAUAUUAUAGGUUGCUUGGGAUAAAAGUUUCAGUGAAACAAUGAUUUGAAAAAAAAAAAUGGAAACAAUUUGAGAGAAAUUAGUUUCUUCCUGGGGACAGUGGUCUCUUGCCCUUCCAGAAGGAAAGAGCAGCCCUAUAGCAUUGUGGGAGAGGCAUACUCCUACAUAUAGCUAAUGUCAUUAUAGGAAAUACACUUCUUAAGCAGAAUAUUGACAACGAUACAGUGUAUCGCUUCUCAGGUGACAGGGAAUCUGUAACCUGUCUCACUGUACCAUUGCCCCCUAUGGAUUGCAACACCUGUGAAAACAUUCCAGUAAGAAUUGGUGAGGGGGGAACUUUAAAUGCACACCGUAUGUGUACGACAUCGAGUCAACACAAAAAACGCCAUACAUCAAUAACAUAUAUCAGUUCAAGUGCAUGUGAGAUUAACUGUCAUGUAUGGAAAGUUUGUGCGUGUUCUCCCAUUCUUGACCAGCAGUGUUUCUGAGUAUUAUUCUUGUCCCCGAGUAUUUAAGGAAUUCCCAUAUAACCUGUACGACAGGUGGCCAAGAACAUGCCUGUGAAAUGUUAUGCAUGUUGAACAUGCGUCUCGCAUGCAUUCGCAAAAACAGAAUAUUCUAUAAUGACGUGAGUGGGGGAAUUUGGGGGGAGAUACAAGCAAAACAGUGGAUGUAGCAAAGGCCUCUGGGAAAAAUGCACGUGGCCGUAGGAUUUUCUGGAUGGCCGAUGCUGAGUGACGAUGGAGUCGGCCCUAUUUCUGACAUCAGUCUCUUUCAGGGGGGGUUCCUUUCAAAACUGCGGCCGUUGGAAAAGCGGGGGAUUUUAGCCCCAUCAGCAGUGUGUGAUGUCAGCACGUGAGCCAACAAAAGGGGACAGAUGGGGGGGGGGGGGUGUUAAGGUUUAACAUGGUCCCCUUUCGCUGAGUCAAAAACAGCCGAAGUAGCCUGUUAUUUCUGGCUAAAUCACACGCACUCUUGGGAUUCAAUUUAUUUCAAAAGUACCUUUUACUAUAUAUAAUUGUUUUUUAAAUGUGACUUUUCUUUAUAUAUUUACUUGUUUUAAAUAAUAAGACAACAUUCUAAACAACCACGUAAAUGGGAAUUCUGUGCUUUCUUCGAUUUGGAUCCUCUGGUUUUCUGGCUGAACGUUUUCCUUCUAUAUGCUGUACACUUUCCAAUAGGACAUGCUGAUACAAUCACCUUUUUAAGGCCUUGUUGCAUCAUGAAGUUUGCCCGGCCAGAUGUGCCUGGCGAUAUGCAGGCAGCAAAAAAAAAAAAAAAAACGGUCAACAUAAAAGCCUCGUUCGUCAAAAGCCUCUGACAGUUACUCAAAUGCCCAUAAGAGAAAUGUUUAAUGUUUGAAUUUCAGACUAAAAAAGCAGAACAACGAGCAUGUCAAAAUGCAUUGAUUCUCUGUCAUCGCGUUCCCAAAUUAUUAGCUGAAACGUAAUAUUUUGGUCAAUGCAUACAGACAUGGGAAGUUCCAAAUUGAAGGGAGAAAGUUUGAAAAGUAAAUAAAACUCCUUUCAUUCAAGCACAUUUCAAACAUUCAGGUACAGACAACAAUUUCUGAUUUAAAUACACUAAAAACGGCUUGCCGAUAUAUUGCUUUUAUGUAAACUGUGGCAUCUAGCAUAAUAAUUUGACCUGGAAUGGUAGGUUGGCAGGAAGUAUACAGCACCACGAGCAUCACUUUCUGCUCCCACAAUUACGGCUGUGAUUUCGAGCUUCCGUGUGGCAAAUUUCCUGGAGAAAACAUCCGCCAUGAAAGACUGCGACUGAAACGGAAUAACACGACGAUAUGGAACAUCUGAGCUGUAGCACCAACGUAGUAGAUGCUGAAAUCCACGCAUGCAGAGCCUCGGCGCAGAAAGAAAUGCAGCCUUUCUUGCAGUUUCUACUUCUUGAAAUUGUUAGAGCAAAUUCAUGGGUUGAUAUGGAGACGUGGGUGAUAAUGGUCUCCUUCAGGGUCCCCAGUGUCACUUGUAAAAAAAAAAACCACCCUAACCCUAACCCUACUUGAACCUAUAAACUGUCCUGUAUACAGUAGUUUCUGCCAUUCCAUAAUUUUGACCAACUCGAGAAGGGGGAACAAUCUGUGUUUCUGUACCCCCUGGUGCCAAAGAAUACAACCAGGGACGACUUGGAUGGGCCCUGAAGGCAGGACUUUGUAGGCCGGGCUGACCUCCCAAACAGUUCCCCUUUAUGCUGGCCCUCUCUGGAAGAAUUACGGCGCGAGGACCUCGCAGGAGACCAGGCCGCGUCGGUGGGGGGCUGGGAGAUAAGUCCUGUAAUUGUGACAUACUGUAAAACAGCAGCGUCCAUUCAUGACACGGCCGUGUGUAAUAAACUAUGGGGGGGCAGGAGGGGCGACGGAGAGGCAGCUGCAGUGUGUAGCCCCUGAACAAGGCCACUCUUUCUCCGGGACUCAAGCCUCCCAAUUUACUGCUGUCCAGUCAGCCUCUGAAAUUCUUUGUGAUGAUACAGUUCUACCCACAGAUUCCAACAGGGGUUGGUUUUUUGACUUCGGCCGGGGAGGAGACGGCGACACGACAAUUAUACCCAUUCACUGGACAAUACAUAAAAUCCUUUUUUUAAAAAAAAAAAAGAUUUUUUUUUUUUGAAAAACUGCCACGUGUCUCCUAAUGUUGUGGCAGGUUCCGUAGGCUGUGCUGUACCUGUAGGUUAUGGGACGGCUGUUUUUUUCCCCUUAUAAACCUGGUAAAAGAUCAUGCAGUUACUGUUCCUAGGAAAACAUUAUAGGACCUUGCUGCCAGGACAUGUACGUUUUGUCCAACAGCAGUUCAGUUCUGACCCGGUGUCGAUGCCUGAUUGCAGCUCACCUUGUGCUCUUUCAGCAUCCGGACUCUACAAUAAUUACAGAUUGAAACACCCCAGAAAACGGAAACCGUGGCCUUUCGCACUUUUCUGCUUGAAGCUUUGAGUGUAAACGGAAGGAGGGUUUACUGUGAUGACCACGUCUGUGAUACACGUACGGCACAGAUGCGAUGUCAUUCAUUCCCUUUCCAAUGAUAUGAACAUAUAAUUGUUUUGUAUGAAUAGUGUUGUCGUUGCAUUAUCUUGUACAUUUAAUAAAGAAUGCUUAAACUGU